AUUGAACGCUGGCGGCAGGCCUAACACAUGCAAGUCGAGCGAACAGAUGAAGUGCUUGCACUUCUGACGUUAGCGGCGAACGGGUGAGUAACACGUAAGGAAUCUACCUAUAAGCGGGGGAUAACAUUCGGAAACGGGUGCUAAUACCGCAUAAUAUCUUCUUCCGCAUGGAAGAAGAUUGAAAGACGGCUCUGCUGUCACUUAUAGAUGACCUUGCGGUGCAUUAGUUAGUUGGUGGGGUAACGGCCUACCAAGACGAUGAUGCAUAGCCGACCUGAGAGGGUGAGCGGCCACAUUGGGACUGAGACACGGCCCAAACUCCUACGGGAGGCAGCAGUAGGGAAUCUUCCGCAAUGGGCGAAAGCCUGACGGAGCAAUGCCGCGUGAGUGAAGAAGGCCUUCGGGUCGUAAAACUCUGUUAUAAGAGAAGAACAAAUUGUAGAGUAACUGCUACAGUCUUGACGGUAUCUUAUCAGAAAGCCACGGCUAACUACGUGCCAGCCGCCGCCGUAA
rnacentral:rRNA from 1 species